rnacentral:misc_RNA from 1 species
GCUACAUCUGGGUCACUCGUUGGAAUCGAAAUCAUGUAGUCAUCCGAAGGGCUCCUCCGCCUCAACUCGUGAGUCAGGUUCAUCUCUGACUUGGCCUCAUUUGGCAUCCACACCACGCAAUUCUGUAGUGCCAGUGUCUUUGAGAGCUCUACCAGAGUGGUGUAUAGUAUCGUAUGUCGAUCAAGUGAUUUCCGAAUCUCUUGGGUCAGCAUCCGCACGUGCCAGCUUG